GCUCUCCUCUCCUGCUAAGCUUCGUUUCCCGACAGUAAUUAAAACCUUCUGCCACUGCCAUAGCUACUGCUGCUGCUGGAACUGCCACCUUGGUUUCUGGUUUGACAAAGUAUUGGCCUCCACCACCAUAGGGCGCAGAGCUUCUGCCUCCAAACUUCCCUCCUUGCAGGGGUCCAAAAUUUGAAGAUUGAUUGUUGUAAUUGCCAAAAUCAUUAUAGCUUCCGCCACCUCCAAAAUUGCUUCCAUCAUUACCAAAUCCGUUACAGCCAUCCACACUGCCACCACGUCCACCACCACCUCGCCUGCCACCAAAGCCACCUCGCCCACUGAAGUUUCCCCCACGACCAGAGUUGUCAUUCCCACCACAACCACCACCAAAGUUUCCAGGACCACUUUGACCUCUCUGGCUGGCUGAAGCACCAGCCAUCUCCUGCUUAAAUAGGGCUCUCCUCACUUCCCAGUGUGGCCAUUCACAGUAUGGUAUUUUUGAAUGACAAUCUUGUCUACACAGUCAUGAUCAUUAAAUGUUACAAAAGCAAAAUUCUCUUCUUGCCACUACCUCGGUCAGCCAUGAUUUCAGUCACUUCAGUUUUCCCAUUCUGUUCAAAAUAAUCUCUAGGAUGUGUGCUUCAGGGUCUUCUUUAAGGCCACCGACAGAAAUCGUUUUCACAGUUAAGCGGGCACCAGGUCUUUGAGACUCGUCUCUUGAGACAGCCCUCUCUGGUUCUACAACUCUUCCAUCCACCUUGUGUGGCCUUGCAUUCAUGGCUGCGUCCACCUCUUCCACAAUGGCGUACGUGACAAACCCAAAGUCUCUGGAGCGCUUGGUGUUGGAUCUCUCAUUACCACAGUCUGUAAGCGUUCCCCCAUUACUCAAAAUGGCUCCUCAGACUCUCAUCGGUUGGUUCAAAGCCCAAACCUCUGAUGAAAACCGCAGCUGUUCAGGCUCUUUGGGAGACUCUGACAUGACGGCGUCUACAGGCAGAAAGCAAGAGAGA
rnacentral:lncRNA from 1 species